AGCGAACGCUGGCGGCAGGCCUAACACAUGCAAGUCGAACGAAGUCUUCGGACUUAGUGGCGGACGGGUGAGUAACACGUGGGAACGUGCCUUUAGGUUCGGAAUAGCUCUUGGAAACGGGUGGUAAUGCCGAAUGUGCCCUUCGGGGGAAAGAUUUAUCGCCUUUAGAGCGGCCCGCGUCUGAUUAGCUAGUUGGUGAGGUAAUGGCUCACCAAGGCGACGAUCAGUAGCUGGUCUGAGAGGAUGACCAGCCACAUUGGGACUGAGACACGGCCCAAACUCCUACGGGAGGCAGCAGUUGGGAAUCUUGCGCAAUGGGCGAAAGCCUGACGCAGCCAUGCCGCGUGGAUGAUGAAGGUCUUAGGAUUGUAAAAUCCUUUCACCGGUGAAGAUAAUGACUGUAGCCGGAGAAGAAGCCCCGGCUAACUUCGUGCCAGCAGCCGCCGCGGUAA
rnacentral:rRNA from 1 species